rnacentral:rRNA from 1 species
UACCGGAUGAUGUCGCAAGACCAAAGAUUUAUCGCCCAGGGAUGAGCCCGCGUCGGAUUAGGUAGUUGGUGGGGUAAAGGCCUACCAAGCCGACGAUCCGUAGCUGGUCUGAGAGGAUGAUCAGCCACACUGGGACUGAGACACGGCCCAGACUCCUACGGGAGGCAGCAGUGGGGAAUAUUGGACAAUGGGCGAAAGCCUGAUCCAGCAAUGCCGCGUGAGUGAUGAAGGCCUUAGGGUUGUAAAGCUCUUUUACCCGGGAUGAUAAUGACAGUACCGGGAGAAUAAGCUCCGGCUAACUCCGUGCCAGCAGCCGCGGUAAUACGGAGGGAGCUAGCGUUGUUCGGAAUUACUGGGCGUAAAGCGCACGUAGGCGGCUUUGUAAGUCAGGGGUGAAAGCCUGGAGCUCAACUCCAGAACUGCCUUUGAGACUGCAUCGCUUGAAUCCGGGAGAGGUGAGUGGAAUUCCGAGUGU